rnacentral:rRNA from 1 species
GGGAUUGCCCUAGUAACGGCGAGUGAAGCGGCAACAGCUCAAAUUUGAAAUCUGGCUCUCGGGCCCGAGUUGUAAUUUGUAGAGGAUGCUUUUGAUGCGGUGCCUUCCGACUUCCCUGGAACGGGACGCCAUAGAGGGUGAGAGCCCCGUCUGGUUGGAUGCCAAAUCUCUGUAAAGCUCCUUCGACGAGUCGAGUAGUUUGGGAAUGCUGCUCUAAAUGGGAGGUAUAUGUCUUCUAAAGCUAAAUACCGGCCAGAGACCGAUAGCGCACAAGUAGAGUGAUCGAAAGAUGAAAAGCACUUUGAAAAGAGAGUUAAAAAGUACGUGAAAUUGUUGAAAGGGAAGCGUUUAUGACCAGACUUGGGCUUGGAUAAUCAUCUGGGGUUCUCCCCAGUGCACUUUUCCAGUCCAGGCCAGCAUCAGUUUUCGCCGGGGGAUAAAGGCUUCGGGAAUGUGGCUCCCUCCGGGGAGUGUUAUAGCCCGUUGCGUAAUACCCUGGCGGGGACUGAGGUUCGCGCAUCUGCAAGGAUGCUGGCGUAAUGGUCAUCAACGACCCGUCUUGAAACACGGACCAAGGAGU